rnacentral:rRNA from 1 species
GAUGAACGCUGGCGGCGUGCCUAAUACAUGCAAGUCGAGCGAACGGACGAGAAGCUUGCUUCUCUGAUGUUAGCGGCGGACGGGUGAGUAACACGUGGAUAACCUACCUAUAAGACUGGGAUAACUUCGGGAAACCGGAGCUAAUACCGGAUAAUAUUUUGAACCGCAUGGUUCAAAAGUGAAAGACGGUCUUGCUGUCACUUAUAGAUGGAUCCGCGCUGCAUUAGCUAGUUGGUAAGGUAACGGCUUACCAAGGCAACGAUGCAUAGCCGACCUGAGAGGGUGAUCGGCCACCCUGGAACCUAGACACGGUCCAGACUCCUACGGGAGGCAGCAGUAGGGAAUCUUCCGCAAUGGGCGAAAGCCUGACCGAGCCAAGCCGCGUGGGUGAAGAAGGUCUUCGGGUUGUAAAACUCUGUUAUUAGGGAAGAACAUAUGUGUAAGUAACUGUGCACAUCUUGACGGUACCUAAUCAGAAAGCCACGGCUAACUACGUG